rnacentral:rRNA from 1 species
GAUGAACGCUGGCGGCGUGCCUAACACAUGCAAGUCGAGCGUGAUUUAUGAGGACGAAACUUCGGUCUAGGAAUCAUAAUGAAAGCGGCGGACGGGUGAGUAACGCGUAGGCAACCUGCCCUUGACACAGGGAUAGCCUCGGGAAACCGGGAUUAAAACCUGAUGACGCCAAACAGUCACAUGGCUGUUUGGCCAAAGAUUUAUCGGUCAAGGAUGGGCCUGCGUCUGAUUAGUUAGUUGGUGGGGUAACGGCCUACCAAGACGACGAUCAGUAGCCGACCUGAGAGGGUGAUCGGCCACAUUGGAACUGAGACACGGUCCAAACUCCUACGGGAGGCAGCAGUGGGGAAUAUUGCACAAUGGGCGAAAGCCUGAUGCAGCAACGCCGCGUGAGCGAUGAAGGCCUUUGGGUCGUAAAGCUCUGUCCUUGGGGAAGAAACAAAUGACGGUACCCAAGGAGGAAGCCCCGGCUAACUACGUGCCAGCAGCCGCCGUAA